rnacentral:rRNA from 1 species
GGUUAUAAGAUCCCUCGAAGAUGACGAGGUUAAUAGGUUCGAGGUGGAAGCGUGGUGACACGUGGAGCUGACGAAUACUAAUCGAUCGAAGACUUAAUCAA